ACGUCGUGACCGCAGUUCCGAAGCAGCAGGAAAAGAUGCGGCCCCUGGACAUCGUCGAGCUGGCCGAGCCAGAGGAAGUGGAGGUGCUGCAGCCCGAGGAAGACUUCUAGCAGUUUCUGCUGCCCUUCAUCAACAAGAUGCGAGAAGACAUCGCAUCUCUCACCCGCGAGCACAGGCGGGCGUACAUGCGGAACAGGAGCAAGUUGCGGGAGACGGACAAUAUGCUCAUCCAAAUAAAAACCCAGGUGGAGGCCGCGGAGGAGAGCGCACUGAAUCAUCUUCAGAACCCAAACGAUGGAGUCGAGGGCAGGGUGGCCAAGAGGUGCGAGAAGGCCGAGAGAAGGCGAAGGAGAUCGCGGAGAUGGCAGAGAUGUUGGUGGAGCUGGUCCGGCGGAUGGAGAAGGGCAAGUCGUCGUGAAGCAGCCGUGGCGGUAUACAGCCGAUGGAUUCUGGUCAACUGAUGGAGAUUGGCAGACACCCUGGAGAAGCUGUAACCAGAGAGCCUUUUGUUUUCUCUUUUUUUCCUCUGUCUACGCUCUGUCCUUCACUUACACUACGUUUCUGCUAUGGUCUGUGGUUGAUGACCUCCCUCAAUAUGAGUUUUUGAUUGUUUAAUGUUUUUGUUUGGGGAAGUAACUUUUGUUUGGGAAAUGCUCUCACAUGCAGGAAUUAGGGCCUAGAUUGUAAGCUCUUGCAGCAGUCACAUUGUUCCUUGGCUUUGGUUGUUGUUUCUAAAUUUUGAGGUGCUUUGCUCUUUCUUGUGUGACCUGAUAGCUCCCUGGAACUUUGGGUCUGUGUGCGACACAUGAGACUCAGAGUUGGAGUUCUCCAGCUCUGGAGGUGCUGAAGGAGCUCCGUUGAUUCUAGAAGACAACCCCAUGCAACAGCUGCUGAAGAAAGGACCAGAUUUCAACUGGAAGUGUGGAUGGGGCUGAUCUGGCUAGGCCUGAUGAAUCUGGAGAAGGGGUGGAGAAUAGUAUUUUCUGUAUUUGGGGACUUUAAUUUCUGUGUGAGACCAAAGGAGGAGAGAUGUAUUUUGUUCAAAAUUUAAAUUCUAUGUGGUACACUAUCU